GUCAGAACAUCUUANNAUCUUCGGAUGCUUAGUGGCGAACGGGUGAGUAACACGUAGGUAACCUGCCCAUGUGCCCGGGAUAACUUCUGGAAACGGAUGCUAAAACCGGAUAGGUAAGUGGAUCGCAUGAACUGCUUAUUAAAGAGGCUACGGCCUUGAACAUGGA
rnacentral:rRNA from 1 species